GAUGAACGCUGGCGGCGUGCCUAAUACAUGCAAGUCGAGCGAACAGACGAGGAGCUUGCUCCUCUGACGUUAGCGGCGGACGGGUGAGUAACACGUGGAUAACCUACCUAUAAGACUGGGAUAACUUCGGGAAACCGGAGCUAAUACCGGAUAAUAUAUUGAACCGCAUGGUUCAAUAGUGAAAGACGGUUUUGCUGUCACUUAUAGAUGGAUCCGCGCCGCAUUAGCUAGUUGGUAAGGUAACGGCUUACCAAGGCAACGAUGCGUAGCCGACCCGAGAGGGUGAUCGGCCACACUGGAACUGAGACACGGUCCAGACUCCUACGGGAGGCAGCAGUAGGGAAUCUUCCGCAAUGGGCGAAAGCCUGACGGAGCAACGCCGCGUGAGUGAUGAAGGUCUUCGGAUCGUAAAACUCUGUUAUUAGGGAAGAACAAAUGUGUAAGUAACUAUGCACGUCUGGACGGUACCUAAUCAGAAAGCCACGGCUAACUACGU
rnacentral:rRNA from 1 species